rnacentral:rRNA from 1 species
UGAGGAACAUGACCUUCGGCGGGGGAUAGCCGGCCCAACGGCCGGGUAAUACCGCGUACGACCACUUGGGGACAUCCUGGAGUGGUGAAAGCAGCAAUGCGCCGAUGAAGUGCCUCGCGGCCUAUCAGCUAGUUGGUGAGGUAACGGCUCACCAAGGCGACGACGGGUAGCUGGUCUGAGAGGACGACCAGCCACACUGGAACUGAGAUACGGUCCAGACUCCGUAACGGGGAGCA